GGAAGAAACUGGAAGAACCAGAAAAUCCUGAGAACAGCUAGAUGCUAGUCUGUCAGGAACAGAUGUACAGGUAUAGAAGUUCCCAGGUAAAAUACACACACCCACCCCUUCCUCAAGGCAAGUAGCUAACAAUAGAAGAAAAGAAGGAACACCACACAUGUUAUAAAUUGCUCCAUGCUGGUCUGACCUACCUGGAAAGUACUUAGGUCGGCGGUUCUCAACUGGGAUGCUUCAGCAGGGGUGCCACCAGCACCGCAACCAGGAAGUUAAGCUGGUUGAAUAACUGGCAAACUAAAGCUGCUAGAAUAUGAAGUUACUGAGAUCUUGAAAAUGGGCAAAAUCACCAACAACUGCACUGAUAGUAAAGGCAAGAAGGUGGCCUUACCUUGAUC